rnacentral:rRNA from 1 species
UCUGGUUGAUCCUGCCAGUAGUUAUAUGCUUGUCUCAAAGAUUAAGCCAUGCAUGUCUAAGUACACACGCAUUAAAAGUGAAACCGCAAAAGGCUCAUUAUAUCAGUUAUGGUUCCUUAGAUCGUUAACAGUUACUUGGAUAACUGUGGUAAUUCUAGAGCUAAUACAUGCAAUUAAAACAUGAACCUUAUGGGACAUGUGCUUUUAUUAGGCUAAAACCAAGCGAUCGCAAGAUCGUUAUAUUGGUUGAACUCUAGAUAACAUGCAGAUCGUAUGGUCUUGUACCGACGACAGAUCUUUCAAAUGUCUGCCCUAUCAACUUUUGAUGGUAGUAUCUAGGACUACCAUGGUUGCAACGGGUAACGGGGAAUUAGGGUUCGAUUCCGGAGAGGGAGCCUGAGAAACGGCUACCACAUCUAAGGAAGGCAGCAGGCGCGUAAAUUAGCCACUCCCAGCUCGGGGAGGUAGUGACGAAAAAUAACAAUACAGGACUCAUAUUCGAGGCCCUGUAAUUGGAAUGAGUACACUUUAAAUCCUUUAACAAGGACCAAUUGGAGGGCAAGUCUGGUGCCAGCAGCCGCGGUAAUUCCAGCUCCAAUAGCGUGUAUUAAAGUUGUUGCGGUUAAAACGUUCGUAGUUGAACUUGUGCUUCAUACGGGUAGUACAACAUACAAUUGUAGUUAGUACUAUACCUUUAUGUAUGUAAGCGUAUUACCGGUGGAGUUCUUAUAUUUGUUUAAAUACUUUUAUUUUUUCAUAUGUUCCUCCUAUUUAAAAACCUGCAUUAGUGCUCUUAAACGAGUGUUAUUGCGGGCCGGUACAAUUACUUUGAACAAAUUAGAGUGCUUAAAGCAGGCUUCAAAUGCCUGAAUAUUCUGUGCAUGGGAUAAUGAAAUAAGACCUCUGUUCUGCUUUCAUUGGUUUUCAGAUCAAGAGCUAAUGAUUAAUAGAAGCAGUCUAACCAUAAACGAGCUAGCAAUUGGGUGUAGCUACUUUUAUGGCUCUCUCUGUCGCUUCCCGGGAAACCAAAGCUUUUGGGCUCCGGGGGAAGUAUGGCUGCAAAGCUGAAACUUAAAGGAAUUGACGGAAGGGCACCACCAGGAGUGGAGCCUGCGGCUUAAUUUGACUCAACACGGGAAAACUUACCAGGUCCGAACAUAAGUGUGUAAGACAGAUUGAUAGCUCUUUCUCGAAUCUAUGGGUGGUGGUGCAUGGCCGUUCUUAGUUCUUGGAGUGAUUUGUCUGGUUAAUUCCGAUAACGAACGAGACUCAAAUAUAUUAAAUAGAUAUCUUCAGGAUUAUGGUGUUGAAGCUUAUAUAGCCUUCAUUCAUGGUGGCAGUGAAAUGUUUAUUGUGUUUGAAUGUGUUUAUGUAAGUGGAGCCGUACCUGUUGGUUUGUCCCAUUAUAAGGAUACUAGCUUUUUAAAUGGACAAAUUGCGUCUAGCAAUAAUGAGAUUGAGCAAUAACAGGUCUGUGAUGCUCUUAGAUGUCCUGGGCUGCACGCGCGCUACAAUGAAAGUAUCAACGUGUCCGGGUAAACCGCUGAACCACUUUCAUGCUUGGGAUUGUGAACUAAAACUGUUCACAUGAACUUGGAAUUCCUAGUAAGUGUGAGUCAUUAACUCGCAUUGAUUACGUCCCUGCCCUUUGUGCACACCGCCCGUCGCUACUACCGAUUGAAUUAUUUAGUGAGGUCUCCGGACGUGAUCACUGUGACGCCUUGUGUGUUACGGUUGUUUCGCAGAAGUUGACCGAACUUGAUUAUUUAGAGGAAAUAAAAGUCGUAACAAGGUUUCCGUAGGUGAACCUGCGGAAG